rnacentral:lncRNA from 1 species
CAGCCGAUGGAGAAACAAGAUGAACAUCUGUUUUGCUGCAAUGAAACUCCUGUGUUCCUCAGAAUGCACAAACCGCCUCUGACAGACCACCCCAAAGGCGGCUUCCCUGGCACGCGGCGGCCCCGCGGAAUAUUCCGCCUGGUUAUUUCAAUCAGGGACAGCUGGCGGCUGAAGGAUCAUUUCUUAGCCCAAGAUUUGAAUGCCACAUGUCAAGGGUUCUUCGGUGGAGGUCUGCAGACUCAGGCUGAGAGGAGCAAUUCUUAAGGGUCCGUGGAAUUGGUUUCCCUCCCUGUAGAGGGAUCUGCUCAUGUCCUGCGCUGGAGAAGUGGAAGAGUCCAGACACGCUCCUGGACCUGGCACAUGCACACGGUCUUCCAGCUCAGCCCUGGGAUAUCACCACCACAGGACAUCCCCAAGCCCCCACGGCCCCUGCGCUUCCAUCUGAGCCCUCAUCACAGGCAUAAAUCAUUGGACUUCAUUCCAAACGGCCAUCCCAUAAAUGUCCAUCUCCCUCAUUAAACCCUGACUCGGUCUUGUUCACCUGUGUACCCAGCCCCUGGCAUGAUGCCAGGCACAUAGUAGGUAUUUAAGAAAUAUUCAUUGACUGAUCAAAGUGGGGACCCCUGCCCUCCCUCCCAGUGUCCCACCCGUGACCAUUCCCUUUCCAUCCCAGCUGGUCCCUUGCAAAUCCAGUUCUAGUUCUCAGUCACGUUCUGUGUUUUAAAUGGGGGAGGGGGAGUGGCUGGACCGGGUCAUAAGUCCACCCUUGAGCCAAGGAAGUUGUGGAACAAGGAUGAACCCAGUCAGAGGGCUGGACUUGUCAACGUGACAGCAAAUUAUAUUCCUGCCAGACCACAGGGCUGUCUGCCCAAAAUACAGAUAUGUACUAGGGUCUCUCAUACAGAGAGGCCACAGUAUAUUAGAUUUAUCAUACACUCCAGCCAAGAUGUGCUGCCGAGAUUUCGGGGCAAGAUUUAUUACACUGGCUGGUUUUUAAAAUGAAAGUGAAAAGAGGAUAUUCUGGCAAAGCUGCAGGCUGUUAAUGGGGUGAGAAUCACAUAAAAUAGAUCAUCUUGGAAUCUCUUCUUCUAGACACAGACAGACCUUUGCAGAAAACCCCAGGGUUUCUGGAAAAAAGAUGCUCGACCCAGUGUUUUUACACAGAACCACUGAGUGACCUUGGGUGAAUUACUCUCAUUCUUUGGAUGUGUAUUUCUUAUUGGCAAACAACAAUAAGAACAAACAAUGACAGCUAUAACUUAUUGAUUGCUUACUACGCGCUGGGCAUUUUGUAUGGGGUGAUUCUCUGAAUGGCAGCAACAAUGCUUUGAGACAGUUAUAUUUUUAUUCCCAUUAUAGAGAUGAGGAAACUGAGGUCCACAGAGGUAUCGUCACUAGGACAAUCAACAGCAAAACCCAAAUGCUAACCCAGGCCUCGGGCCAGCCCUGGUCAGAAACCUUCAAUGACCACUGACCUUCCAUUCCAUGAAAAGUUAGCUCUGACUGUUCAGAUGAACGCUACCAGAAAAAUCAUCCUCGGCUGGGCACGGUGGCUCACGCCUGUAAUCCCAGCAC